ensembl:lncRNA MSH2-OT1 MSH2 overlapping transcript 1
AGGCCUGCCCUGCCUGACCUACUCUUGUGAGGCCAAGGCCAUCUCCUCCACUCUCUGGGGGCCUCUUCUGACUCCUCCAAACUCUUCCAUGUCUGGACUCCUGGCUUCUGCCCAAGGCCAUCUAUUGGAGUUUGGGUUUCCAGUUGAGGAUCUGCCUUUUUCCUGGAUGACCAAACCUAGAAUGUGACCGGCCUCAUGCUCCCUCCUCACAAGGGUGUGGCUUUAUCCGAGGGCCUCAGCAAGGCAACCAACACCAGACAUGAAGCUGAGCACACUCAGCUCAUCCUGGGAGACAAGGUGGGGGUGGAGGAUGGUCCAUCCUUCUUCCGCAUCAAGAUGGGAAGUCUUGACUCAUUACCCGCUGGAGACUUUUCCUGCUGGGCUCUGCACUGUCAACUGUGAGAGAGGGAAAUAAAACGUACUGUACAGUCCAA